ACUAUGUAUAUAGAUGACUCAUGUUACGAACUUUCCGUCAGUCACAUGUCCAAUGUCCUUGACCUCAUUUUCAUGGUUCAGUGACUACUUGAAAAAAAAGUUAAGAUUUUUUGUAAUGUUAAUUUCUCUCUUAUUAUAAGUAAUUGGAUAACUAUAUUUGGUAUAUGCGUACCUUGCAAGGUCCUCAUAUCCGUCAGACAGUUUUCACUUGACCUCGACCUCAUUUCAUGGAUCAGUGAACAAGGUUAAGUUUUGGUGGUCAAGUCCAUAUCUCAGAUACUAUAAGCAAUAGGGCUAGUAUAUUCGGUGUAUGGAAGGACUGUAAGGUGCACAUGUCCAACUGGCAGGUGGCAUCUGACCUUGACCUCAUUUUCAUGGUUCAGUGGUUAUAGUUAAAUUUUUGUGUUUUGGUCUGUUUUUCUCAUACUAUAUGCAAUAGGUCUACUAUAUUUGUUGUAUGGAAUGAUUGUAAGGUGUACAUGUCUAGCGGGCAGAUGUCAUGUGUCCUUGACCUCAUUUUCAUGGUUCAGUGGUCAAAGUUAAGUUUUUGAGUUUUGGUCUUUUUAUCUAAUACUAUAUGCCAUAGGUCAACUAUAUUUGAUGUAUGGAAAUAUUUUAUUAUCUUUAUGUCAGUCGCGCAGGUUUUAUUUGACCUUGACCUCAUUUUCACAGUUCAUUGCACAGUGUUAAGUAUUUGUGUUUUUUUCUGAAACUAUAAGUAAUAGGUCAACUAUAUAUGUUGUAUAGGAG
rnacentral:lncRNA from 1 species